rnacentral:antisense_RNA from 1 species
UUCAGGGUGCAGUAUCAGCAUGGCGUCUUUCGACACCAAGGAGACCCUUGAGCAGACCCUGCAAAGGAGGCUGCAGCACCUUGAGGUCGUGCGGGGGCCGAGCACAGUACAGCAGGGGCCCUUUGACGGCGCGGAGCUCGUGGGUGGCAAGGGUGGCGGCCGUCCUCUUCUCACAGAGAUCUUCGUGGAGCUUGGUCUGUAACACAGGAGCAGUGAUGAGCAAGGUCUCUUGUGCCCCGAAGCCCCGAGGUGUCCACACUUGACCCUUGGCUGGGCUGUGCGCCAGGACACCCUCCAGUCCAAGGUCUUCACAACCCCGCCACGCCCCUUUCCGAGACAGGGCUCCCCUCCAACUCCUCUCCACCCGGCCAGCCAGGCACUCACUUUGUGGAAUCACCAUCAGGAAAACUAUCUUAACCUAUCAAUCAGCAGACUUUCUUCCUUCUCUAAUUCUAGACAUAAUAUUUGAGAUUUCAAAGAACUAAUCUUGAACUAAAAUGUAAAUAAAGGCUGAGCUUUAAGUUGUAAA